UACAGAGGGUGCGAGCGUUAAUCGGAAUUACUGGGCGUAAAGCGCACGUAGGCGGCUUGGUAUGUCGGGUGUGAAAUCCCCGGGCUCAACCUGGGAACUGCAUCCGAAACUGCCUUGCUAGAGUAUGGGAGAGGGAAGUGGAAUUUCCGGUGUAGCGGUGAAAUGCGUAGAUAUCGGAAGGAACAUCAGUGGCGAAGGCGACUUCCUGGCCCGAUACUGACGCUGAGGCACGAAAGCGUGGGGAGCAAACAGG
rnacentral:rRNA from 1 species